rnacentral:rRNA from 1 species
CUUGGUCAUUUAGAGGAGUAAAAGCCGUAACAAGGUUUCCGUAGGUGAACCUGCGGAAGGAUCAUUCAUAACGAGUGUUUAUGGCACUCUAAAAAAUCCAUACCCACCUUGUGUGCAUCGUUAAAGAGUCCUUUUGUCUCUCUUUUAGAGAGGCAUGGGAUUUCUUUUUAAUUAAUCUAUUUUAAACCAGUUUGUCUGAAGCAAUGUAUCAUGAAUAACAUAAUUCAAAAUACAACUUUCAACAACGGAUCUCUUGGCUCUCGCAUCGAUGAAGAACGCAGCGAAAUGCGAUACGUAAUGUGAAUUGCAGAAUUCAGUGAAUCAUCGAAUCUUUGAACGCACAUUGCGCUCUCUGGUAUUCCGGAGAGCAUGCUUGUUUGAGUAUCAGUAAAACACCCUCAAUCCUCUCUUUUUUUGAGAGAGAAUUGGAUUUGAGUUAUCCCAACGGCGAUGUUAAAACCGCUGGCGGGUCACUUGAAAUGCAGGUGCGGCUGGACACAUCUUCUGAGCUAUAAGCAUUACUUAUUUAGUCCCGUAAAACGGAUUAUUUCUACUGCUACAGCUAAUAUAAAGGUCGAUUGUCCGUUUGCCCGACUGAUGCAGAAAAAACAAAGAGAAAUCUUUGUUCACUCGAUCUCAAAUCAAGUAAGGCUACCCGCUGAACUUAAGCAUAUCAAUAAGCGGGAGGAA